AACGCUAGCUACAGGCUUAACACAUGCAAGUCGAGGGGCAGCAUUUCAGUUUGCUUGCAAACUGGAGAUGGCGACCGGCGCACGGGUGAGUAACACGUAUCCAACCUGCCGAUAACUCGGGGAUAGCCUUUCGAAAGAAAGAUUAAUACCCGAUGGUAUAAUCAGACCGCAUGGUCUUGUUAUUAAAGAGUUUCGGUUAUCGAUGGGGAUGCGUUCCAUUAGGCAGUUGGUGAGGUAACGGCUCACCAAACCUUCGAUGGAUAGGGGUUCUGAGAGGAAGGUCCCCCACAUUGGAACUGAGACACGGUCCAAACUCCUACGGGAGGCAGCAGUGAGGAAUAUUGGUCAAUGGGCGCAGGCCUGAACCAGCCAAGUAGCGUGAAGGAUGACUGCCCUAUGGGUUGUAAACUUCUUUUAUAUGGGAAUAAAGUUUUCCACGUGUGGAAUUUUGUAUGUACCAUAUGAAUAAGGAUCGGCUAACUCCGUGCCAGCAGCCGCGGUAAUACGGAGGAUCCGAGCGUUAUCCGGAUUUAUUGGGUUUAAAGGGAGCGUAGGUGGACAGUUAAGUCAGUUGUGAAAGUUUGCGGCUCAACCGUAAAAUUGCAGUUGAUACUAGCUGUCUUGAGUACAGUAGAGGUGGGCGGAAUUCGUGGUGUAGCGGUGAAAUGCUUAGAUAUCACGAAGAACUCCGAUUGCGAAGGCAGCUCACUGGACUGCAACUGACACUGAUGCUCGAAAGUGUGGGUAUCAAACAGGAUUAGAUACCCUGGUAGUCCACACAGUAAACGAUGAAUACUCGCUGUUUGCGAUAUACAGUAAGCGGCCAAGCGAAAGCAUUAAGUAUUCCACCUGGGGAGUACGCCGGCAACGGUGAAACUCAAAGGAAUUGACGGGGGCCCGCACAAGCGGAGGAACAUGUGGUUUAAUUCGAUGAUACGCGAGGAACCUUACCCGGGCUUAAAUUGCAUUUGAAUAUAUUGGAAACAGUAUAGCCGUAAGGCAAAUGUGAAGGUGCUGCAUGGUUGUCGUCAGCUCGUGCCGUGAGGUGUCGGCUUAAGUGCCAUAACGAGCGCAACCCUUAUCUUUAGUUACUAACAGGUCAUGCUGAGGACUCUAGAGAGACUGCCGUCGUAAGAUGUGAGGAAGGUGGGGAUGACGUCAAAUCAGCACGGCCCUUACGUCCGGGGCUACACACGUGUUACAAUGGGGGGUACAGAAGGCAGCUACCUGGUGACAGGAUGCUAAUCCCAAAAGCCUCUCUCAGUUCGGAUCGAAGUCUGCAACCCGACUUCGUGAAGCUGGAUUCGCUAGUAAUCGCGCAUCAGCCAUGGCGCGGUGAAUACGUUCCCGGGCCUUGUACACACCGCCCGUCAAGCCAUGAAAGCCGGGGGUACCUGAAGUACGUAACCGCAAGGAGCGUCCUAGGGUAAAACUGGUAAUUG
rnacentral:rRNA from 1 species